rnacentral:rRNA from 1 species
UUAAGCGACUAAGCGUACACGGUGGAUGCCCUGGCAGUCAGAGGCGAUGAAGGGCGUGCUAAUCUGCGAUAAGCGCCGGUAAGGUGAUAUGAACCGUUAUAACCGGCGAUACCCGAAUGGGGAAACCCAGUGUGAUUCGUCACACUAUCAUUAACUGAAUCCAUAGGUUAAUGAGGCGAACCGGGGGGAACUGAAACAUCUAAGUUACCCCGAGGAAAAGAAAUCAACCGAGAUUCCCCCAGUAGCGGCGAGCGAACGGGGAGGAGCCCAGAGCCUGAAUCAGCAUGUGUGUUAGUGGAAGCGUCUGGAAAGGCGCGCGAUACAGGGUGACAGCCCCGUACACAAAAGCGCAUGUGCUGUGAGCUCGAUGAGUAGGGCGGGACACGUGGUAUCCUGUCUGAAUAUGGGGGGACCAUCCUCCAAGGCUAAAUACUCCUGACUGACCGAUAGUGAACCAGUACCGUGAGGGAAAGGCGAAAAGAACCCCGGCGAGGGGAGUGAAAAAGAACCUGAAACCGUGUACGUACAAGCAGUGGGAGCCCCACCACUAAGCCAGUGGUGAACUCCACAUACGCAUCCUUUGCUGAGGAUACGGUUAACGGAGCGCAAGCGACGUUCAACCUCAAAAGAAGCAGAGGGGGCUUAGUGGUGGGGUGACUGCGUACCUUUUGUAUAAUGGGUCAGCGACUUAUAUUCUGUAGCAAGGUUAACCGAAUAGGGGAGCCGGAGGGAAACCGAGUCUUAAUUGGGCGUUAAGUUGCAGGGUAUAGACCCGAAACCCGGUGAUCUAGCCAUGGGCAGGUUGAAGGUUGGGUAACACUAACUGGAGGACCGAACCGACUAAUGGUUGAAAAAUUAGCGGAUGACCUGUGGCUGGGGGUGAAAGGCCAAUCAAAACCGGGAGAAUAGCUGGUUCUCCCCGAAAGCUAUUUAGGUAGCGCCUCGUGAACUCAUCUCCGGGGGUAGAGCACUGUUUCGGCUAGGGGGCCAUCCCGGCUUACCAACCCGAUGCAAACUGCGAAUACCGGAGAAUGUUAUCACGGGAGACACACGGCGGGUGCUAACGUCCGUCGUGAAGAGGGAAACAACCCAGACCGCCAGCUAAGGUCCCAAAGUCAUGGUUAAGUGGGAAACGAUGUGGGAAGGCCCAGACAGCCAGGAUGUUGGCUUAGAAGCAGCCAUCAUUUAAAGAAAGCGUAAUAGCUCACUGGUCGAGUCGGCCUGCGCGGAAGAUGUAACGGGCUAAACCAUGCACCGAAGCUGCGGCAGCGAACGUAUCACUUAAAGCGAUUCAGCGGGUUACGAUUGACGGAGCGAAGCGACGUCAAAGCGUAUACAAAGUCGAGUCGGUUUAAGGAUACGUUCGUUGGGUAGGGGAGCGUUCUGUAAGCCUGUGAAGGUGGCCUGUGAGGGGUGCUGGAGUAUCAGAAGUGCGAAUGCUGACAUAAGUAACGAUAAAGCGGGUGAAAAGCCCGCUCGCCGGAAGACCAAGGUUCCUGUCCAACGUAAUCGGGCAGGGUGAGUCGACCCCUAAGGCGAGGCCGAAAGGCGUAGUCGAUGGGAAACGGGUUAAUAUUCCCGUACUUGGUGUUACUGCGAAGGGGGGACGGAGAAGGCUAUGUUGGCCGGGCGACGGUUGUCCCGGUUUAAGCGUGUAGGUGUGUGUUCCAGGUAAAUCCGGUUCACUUUAACACUGAGGCGUGACGACGAGGCACUACGGUGCUGAAGCAACAAAUGCCCUGCUUCCAGGAAAAGCCUCUAAGCAUCAGGUAACAUCAAAUCGUACCCCAAACCGACACAGGUGGUCAGGUAGAGAAUACCAAGGCGCUUGAGAGAACUCGGGUGAAGGAACUAGGCAAAAUGGUGCCGUAACUUCGGGAGAAGGCACGCUGACAUGUAGGUGAAGUGAUUUACUCACGGAGCUGAAGUCAGUCGAAGAUACCAGCUGGCUGCAACUGUUUAUUAAAAACACAGCACUGUGCAAACACGAAAGUGGACGUAUACGGUGUGGACGCCUGCCCGGUGCCGGGAAGGUUAAUUGAUGGGGUCAGCGCAAGCGAAGCUCCUGAUCGAAGCCCCGGUAAACGGCGGCCGUAACUAUAACGGUCCUAAGGUAGCGAAAUUCCUUGUCGGGUAAGUUCCGACCUGCACGAAUGGCGUAAUGAUGGCCAGGCUGUCUCCACCCGAGACUCAGUGAAAUUGAACUCGCUGUGAAGAUGCAGUGUACCCGCGGCAAGACGGAAAGACCCCGUGAACCUUUACUAUAGCUUGACACUGGAACAUUGAGCCUUUGAUGUGUAGGAUAGGUGGGAGGCUUUGAAGUGUGGACGCCAGUCUGCAUGGAGCCGACCUUGAAAUACCACCCUUUAAUGUUUUGAUGUUCUAACGUGGACCCGUAAUCCGGGUUGCGGACAGUGUCUGGUGGGUAGUUUGACUGGGGCGGUCUCCUCCUAAAGAGUAACGGAGGAGCACGAAGGUUGGCUAAUCCUGGUCGGACAUCAGGAGGUUAGUGCAAUGGCAUAAGCCAGCUUGACUGCGAGCGUGACGGCGCGAGCAGGUGCGAAAGCAGGUCAUAGUGAUCCGGUGGUUCUGAAUGGAAGGGCCAUCGCUCAACGGAUAAAAGGUACUCCGGGGAUAACAGGCUGAUACCGCCCAAGAGUUCAUAUCGACGGCGGUGUUUGGGCACCUCGAUGUCGGCUCAUCACAUCCUGGGGCUGAAGUAGGUCCCAAGGGUAUGGCUGUUCGCCAUUUAAAGUGGUACGCGAGCUGGGUUUAGAACGUCGUGAGACAGUUCGGUCCCUAUCUGCCGUGGGCGCUGGAGAACUGAGGGGGGCUGCUCCUAGUACGAGAGGACCGGAGUGGACGCAUCACUGGUGUUCGGGUUGUCAUGCCAAUGGCACUGCCCGGUAGCUAAAUGCGGAAGAGAUAAGUGCUGAAAGCAUCUAAGCACGAAACUUGCCCCGAGAUGAGUUCUCCCUGAGACUUUAAGUCUCCUGAAGGAACGUUGAAGACGACGACGUUGAUAGGCCGGGUGUGUAAGCGCAGCGAUGCGUUGAGCUAACCGGUACUAAUGAACCGUGAGGCUUAACCUU